GACGAACGCUGGCGGCGUGCUUAACACAUGCAAGUCGAGCGGUAAGGCUCCUUCGGGCGUACACGAGCGGCGAACGGGUGAGUAACACGUGAGUAAUCUGCCCUUCACUUCGGGAUAACCACCGGAAACGGUGGCUAAUACCGAAUACGACCAGUCUUCGCAUGAGGUGCUGGUGGAAAGUCUUUUCGGUGAAGGAUGUGCUCGCGGCCUAUCAGCUUGUUGGUGGGGUAAUGGCCUACCAAGGCUUCGACGGGUAGCCGGCCUGAGAGGGUGACCGGCCACACUGGGACUGAGACACGGCCCAGACUCCUACGGGAGGAAGCAGUGGGGAAUAUUGGACAAUGGGCGAAAGCCUGAUCCAGCAACGCCGCGUGAGGGAUGACGGCCUUCGGGUUGUAAACCUCUUUCAGUACCGACGAAGCGCCCUGUCGGGUGGUGACGGUAGGUACAGAAGAAGGACCGGCCAACUACGUG
rnacentral:rRNA from 1 species